rnacentral:lncRNA from 1 species
GGACGGGCCGCCCGCCAAGGGGAAGGUGGGGAAGGGGCGCGGCUGCCCCGCCGAGCUGCAGCUCGCCCAGCCCUGAGCCCCGGGUUCGCUCCGGCCCGAUGACGGAUGGGGAGCCGAGCCGACCGAGUGCCCGGACACGCAGAGCGCUCCGAAGCUGCCCCGCAGCCACUGGACGCGCGUCCCGAGCAGACCGCGCCGCCCAGCCCCGCCUUCGCACUCCUCCAGCCCUUCGGGCCAAGAAGCCGGCCCGCCCGAGUACUGCCCGGAGCCCCAACUGCCCUCUGCGGCGACCUGGUGUAGCCCCAGGGGUCGGGCUGCUCCAGUUAGAUCGCACACACGUUCCAGAGUUUAAAAGAGCUCACAUCUUACAGGAUCAACCAAGGGUGAUGGUAGAACAUGAAGACUUCUUAUCUAUUUGGUUAGGCUCUUCAAAGCAGCAAGGAAAGAGUGCAUGCACCUGGAUCCUCCUCGCCAAUAAGGAAACCCAGAGUGCCAUCUCUUUAAGUGAGACACGUAUCAGAACAUGGCAUCGACCCCAGAAAUUGCACAGAGCCAGAGUGUCCCCAGCAUCAACACCUUUCAGGAGAGAAACUGAAUUCAUUUGCCAACAACCAACUCCAUCGGACAGUGCCAGAAAGUACGGGACUGCUUGCGUUCAUUUCUUCGAGAUGAGUCAGGGUUGCAGGGUGUCGAUGAUUAGAUGUAAAUGUUAAACCAAAAGCCCAUGGUGGUCACUUUGGCUUUCCUUCUGUGGAAAUCCAGCUUCUCACUUGGGGGGAAGGGGUUGUGUUACAUGUGAUAUUGGCAUGUUGCUCUGGUUUCCUGAAGCCCCCAUUUUUUGGGUCUCUCUGUGCCCUUCCCAUAUACACAAACACAUUUUCAGGUAAAACAUCUGGAAGGUCCUAUUUCAAAAGAGCAUGGCCAAGAAAAUCUUUCCAUUUGUAAAAAUAAUGUAAACCCUUUAGACUGUAAUGUCCUGCAGAGCAGGGGAAUUAUACAACAGCAAUAAAAUUGUCAGCUUUCAAUAAUCAGCCACAUUUUUUAUGGUAUUUUGUCACUGGGAAAGCACUUUUUAAUAAUCA